rnacentral:rRNA from 1 species
UACGUAGGGGGCUAGCGUUGUCCGGAAUCAUUGGGCGUAAAGCGCGCGUAGGCGGUCAGGUAAGUCCGGUGUGAAAGUCAAAGGCUCAACCUUUGAAUGCCGCUGGAUACUGCCUGACUUGAGUCCGGAAGGGGCGAGUGGAAUUCCUGGUGUAGCGGUGAAAUGCGCAGAUAUCAGGAGGAACACCGGUGGCGAAGGCGGAUCUCUGGGCCGAUACUGACGCUGAGGAGCGAAAGCGUGGGGAGCGAACAGG